rnacentral:rRNA from 1 species
UAUCUCUGCAGAGUCUGCAUAUCAAUAAGCGGAGGAAAAGAAACUAACUAGGAUUCCCUCAGUAACGGCGAGUGAAGCGGGAAGAGCUCAAAUUUGAAAUCUUCAAGGUUUUACCUUGACGAAUUGUAGUUUAAAGAAGUGUUUUCUGUUGGAGUUUUGGUAAAAGUUCUUUGGAAUAGGACAUCAUAGAGGGUGAGAAUCCCGUAUUUGACCAUUAUUUCCAGCUUUGUGAUACACUUUCAAAGAGUCGGAUUGUUUGGGAAUGCAGUCCAAAAUGGGUGGUAAAUUUCAUCUAAAGCUAAAUAUUGGCGAGAGACCGAUAGCGAACAAGUACCGUGAGGGAAAGAUGAAAAGAACUUUGAAAAGAGAGUUAAACAGUACGUGAAAUUGUCAAAAGGGAAGCGUUUGACACCAGUGUUGUUUUCUCGAAAAUCAAUUAAAAAGUGUUGGAUUUUGUAUUGUUAAGACCUUAUCAGCUUACUGUACUCUUUUCCUGCACUUUUUAAUGCACUUUUCGUUUAACAAGUCAACAUCAAUUUCUUUUGUUGUAAAAGAGUCAUUGGAAGGUGGCUUUCACUUCGGUGAAAGUGUUUAUAGCCUUUGGCUUCUGCAAUCGGAGAGAUUGAGGUCUGCAGCGUAGAUCCUUCGGGGCUAGAUACGUAGAUGCUAAGUUAUAGUUUUUUAUAGACAACUUGUUGACUAUAAUUAAUCAUGUAGCUUACUCGUUUGCGCUAUUUUACCUACGCUUAGGAUGUUGAGUCAUCACACAUCUCU